GACGAACGCUGGCGGCGUGCCUAAAACAUGCAAGUCGAACGAGGAUCCUAUGGGUCCUAGUGGCGAACGGCGGAGUAAUACAUAAGCAACCUGCCCCGAAGACCGGGAUAGCCCCUCGAAAGAGGGAUUAAUACCGGAUGUGGUCCGUUGUGGGCAUCCAUGAUGGAUUAAAACGCGUAAGCGGCUUCGGGAGGGGCUUGUGGCCUAUCAGCUUGUUGGUGGGGUAACGGCUCACCAAGGCUUCGACGGGUAGCUGGUCUGAGAGGACGAUCAGCCC
rnacentral:rRNA from 1 species